rnacentral:lncRNA from 1 species
AAAUUAUCUAAAUAAGCUUCUUAAUAAUCGUUUUCCUCAAUCUUUGGAUACAGGUGGUUAUGUUGUGGUACCUGAAAAGUUGCCAAACUAUGUAGUACCAGAUUUGACUGACUUCAAGGUAAUUUUUCUAAAUAUAUUUUCUUUCUUUUCAUUUCAAAUUCAUGCAUAAACAAUCUUAAUAAUAUAAUUCUUCAGUGUUUCGAUGAUUUACAGCUGCUGUUUAAAUUGAAGCAUAAAGUGAUUGUAUCACCCAUUAAAGGAAAUGACAUUUCUAUCACUAAAUUGUCUUAUUUUCAGUUCUCAUCCAGUCUUCCUUUGUUGGGGACGAUAAUCCUGUUGUUUCUUUAAAUAAAUUAGUGGGUAUGAUAAUGUCCUGGGUACUGGGGGUGGGGCUAUUAAAAUUUCUCUCUGAAAUCAGACAAGUAAACUAAAGGGAAACUGAUGGUAAAGGGCCUGAAUUUCAAACCUCUGUGAGGCUGAGGCAAUCUUAAAAUGAAUACUCCUCUUGGGUUUUAAAAAACCAAUAAAGCAAACUUUGGCUACUGCAUAUAUGUAUAGGAGGCAGUUCCUAGUUAAUAGAUAUAGAGAUUGCAUAAGCUGGGAUUCUACUUGGUGCUGCAAUAAGAUUUGUUUGUAGAAUCUGGUUUUGAUGGGAUACAACUGUGACAAAGUUAAUUGGAUCAGGAAUACUCAAAAAUAUCAGUUAUAUAUUACAAUGGGGUAAUUGGCGCAAAACGUCCAUACCUUUCAGCUUAAUUGUGGAAAACGUCCCCACCUUUCAUUUUUUGGAAUUUUUGCCCUCAAAUCAACCUUUCGUUGCGAUGAAGGUCCUUCCGUCCAAAUUCCAUCCAUUUUGCCGUUAAUUAGAGAGAGAGAACGAAUUUCUUUCCACUCAACAGGGGUAAAAUUGUCUUACCAAUUGAAAACCCUCAUUUUCUUAAUUUCCUUCUUCACACUUCAUAGCCCAAAUGGUUCUCAUUCUACUCUCUUUCGGUUCUUCAAAAAUUCCCAUUUAUCUUCCAUUUCAACAAUUAUUGCUCCAUUCUCCCCUCAAAUCUCUCUGUUGUUUCAGUUCUUUAUCAACAACCAAAAAUACACUAAAUAUUAGAAUCAAGCUAAUCCACACUCUAAAUUAUUCCGAGAACCAAAUAAAACCACUUUUAAUUUCAAAAGAACUUACACGAACCUCUUCAAAACAUAAUCUUCAAAACUCUGUAACGAAAGCUAUUAUAUUCAAGGUACAUAUAGAAAAAUGACUGAAUUUUAGAGAGAAGAGAGUGAGAAUGGAAGGUUUCUUGGUGAAAGCUGCCUUGUAGAGUGAUAAGUGGUCGCAUAUUUCAAGAAAUAAGUGAGUAGACAAAGAAAAAUAAAAUUGGGAUUACAUUUGAAAUGAAUUGUAUCUAUUUUGUUUCGGUUUUCGAUUAUUUGGUGUGUAUCAACAGGUGGUAUAUAGAAGAAAAUAUGGAAUUCUCUCGCUAAAUUUUUUCUAAAAGUUAGGGACUUUAUUCGCAAAUAUUUCUAAAAGGUAGGGACUUUAUUAGCAAAUAUUUCUAAAAGGUAGGGACUUUACUCGCCAAACUUUUUAUAGGUAGGGAUGUUUUAAGCCAAAAUUAUAACUACGUAGGGAUUAUUAGCGCAAGGUUCAUUCGACUCCCAGAAGAAGUGAACAGGACCCGUUCAUCUUCACCAACAAGCCAAAAUGGGUUAUUCACCAUUGAACUGAUACAUAUAACCGAUACAUACUUCACAGCACUCAUUUUCACUCUAUCUCCUCAAUUUACCCCAUGGUCACAAUAAGCAUAAACUAAAAAUAAAUAUCUAGCAGUCAUCUCUACAAAUUGACCACCCAUUCAAUAUAUAUCUUACUACAUUUUUCUUAAAACCAAACAUAAAAGCAGCAGUGAUGGUUGGAUUUCACCACUAUAUAUGCUCUUUAAUUAAAUACAUUUUUUUCCCUUAUUUAAUGUAAUAAUUUAAAGUAUUUUCACACCCAUUUUUCAACUACUAUUAUAUAUAUGGACUACGUAGAAGGCUGGAAUAAGGAGUUCAAUGGGUUAGACGGUUUUACCCCUGUUGAGUGGAAAGAAAUUUGUUCUCUCUCUCUAAUUAACGGCAAAAUGGAUGGAAUUUGGACGGAAGGACGUUCAUCGCAAUGAAAGGUUGAUUUGAGGGCAAAAGUGCCAAAAAAUGAAAGGUGGGGACGUUUUCCACAAUUAAACUGAAAGGUAGGGACGUUUUGCGCCAAUUACCCUAUUACAAUGUAGAAUCAAUAGCUUUCUUUACUACUAUGAUUUCUGCUGCAAAUAAAGAUGAGGAAAGUACACAUGUAUGGACAGAGCUUCUUUAUUUACAAAAUAUCAUUUGUGGACAAUCUUGGAUUAUUGUUGUUGUCAUCCAUACAGCAAGAAAUGUGGAUGACAUUUUCUAGCGUUCAAACCAGUCCUGUUGCUAUGGCUUCUGACGGUGUUAUUAGUGUGAACUUGGGAAUUGAUGCCUUCCAAGCAAAAUGGUCCUUGUUCUGGUGUAACGAAAUAGAUUCUUGCUUAGGGUAUGUAGGGAGCUUGACAAAAUCAUGGCAUAUGAGGUGGUUUACUCACGUUGAAGACUUGAAGCUGAUUUUGGUCCCCUUUGAUCUUGGAUCACCUUUAGCAGUUACUCUCAACAAAGGAUCAUAUUUUGGUCCAAAUCCCUUUAAAUCUUUUUGCUUAUUGGAGGCAAAAGCCUUGAUUUAAGGAGCAGCUCGUGGACUUGUGGACUCUUGAAUGCACUGGAUUCCCUAUACUCCAAUUUUGUGCUAAAUUCUGAAGAUUGACGGUUGAAUUAUGAAAUUUUAUGCAAGUCGUAGUUCAUUUAUGGGACUUUGAUAAUCUCACUGGAUACAACACAUUUCUCAGUUGGCUUGAUUGUUUAGAAAAUUCUUUGAAUUUCAUAAUUUAAAUGACUCUCAUCGUCUUUAUCAUGCUAAUAUGGCACUUGUGGGAUCCACUAGAUGUUUCUGGAAUUCCUUUUUGCAUAACAUUGAUAUCCUAGGUCAAUGUCCUCACUCCAUGGGAUGAAAUGAAACGAAUAUUAAGUAAAAGCAUCUCCAAGAGACUCUUUAAAUAUGAGAUGUUCUCAAUUUUAGCGAGUCAACCUUUAAAAUCAUAGUCCAAUGGACUCUUUAAAUUAACAUUUUAAUUCAGAGAGUGAGGGAGAGCUAAACUCACUCUAUAAUUAAAUGCAUUCAAAGUGUUUCAAUUUUCAUUGUAGGAAAAUAAUAAAAUAAUUUAAAGAACAGUUAGUUAAAAUAAAAGAUAGAGAAAAAUAAUAAAUAUUUUUUGAGAGUAGUAAAAUUAAAUGUCAAAUAUAAAAAGCUUGUUGAAGUACUUCAAAAUUUUAUCUUCUACAUUGAUAUAUCUCUCCAAAUGAUAGAAUAUGUAUUUUAAAAAUAGAGAAUUUUUUGGAGAUACUCUAACAAAUAUGCUCCUAUGUAUUAUCAAUCCCAAUUGCUAGAUCAAUUCUUCUUCAACUAUAAACAAUGUACAUCUACCGUUAGUGAAUAUCUAGGGCAUUUCAAAGAGGAAUUUCCCUACAUUACAACGUCUAGCUUCAUCAAGGGUUUGAAUUUUGAAAUCAUACAUCAUGAUAUUCCAAUACUCCAAUCCUUAGAUGAAGCUUACCGACAGGUCAACCUAUAGGACAUGUCCUUCCAUGUUCACCAAGCAUGUCAUGAGCUCAGUGUACCUUCCCAAUCCAAACAGUCACCUCUCGAGUCCUAUUGUAUUUCUCUUGCGUAAGAUAAUGAGGUUUUUGUUGUUGAGCCAAUUGAAUAUUAUGACAGCAAUGAUGAGGAAAUAUCUAUGGUGUUAUCACUUGAGUCAAACCUACGUACCUUCGAUUUCAUGCCAGAGUUUAUCUUGUUUGAUGCUUUGUGUGAAUCUAACAUGGACUUUGAUAUGGCUUUACCUCUGCUCUAUGAUAUUCCUCGGUUUGUCAUGUUUUCUAAGGUCAGUGUUCACACUUUUUUCCCAUCGUCAUUUGAUUGUUACCUACUAAUUAUCGUCAUAUUGCUUUAGCUUCGUACUUUGUUGAUUUUCAUGAUGAGUUUAAACGACAAAUUAUUAUCAAUCAUGAAUAUGAUGAGUUUGCAUUUGACACACUAAUUAGGCUGAUUUUUACACCUUGUUGUGUGUUUCUUUAGCAUGGUUUCCUAAACAUGUAAAGAAAAAAAUUGGAUUAUUCACUUGAACUCAAUGUGUUUUACUAACCGUUGCACUUAAAUGAAAGCUUUGUUUUCAAUAUAGCAAAAAUAUCUUCAUGUCAAAAUACAUUCGAGCCAUCGUUGUUGCACUCAUCUGUUUCCGCAAACCUGUCUAUUGUACUAGUGCAUCAUGCUCAUCAUAUGGUUCUUGUGGUUGUUUUUGUAAAUGAGUUGAACAUGUUACUCACUGGGGUUCCUCAUCGAUAUUUGGUUAAAAGGAAGGAUCAUCCCCCUCGGUCAGAUCAAAUACUUGGGAUUGAGUUUUAGAUUCAAUUGCAUUCACAUAGUUAGUUCCGUUUUUCGAUCAGGAAGAAAGAUUACCCUCCUUAGUUAAGGAGUUACAGUCUAUCUCGUCGAAAUCAAAUUCUCUCAGCGGGGGAGAAAUGAUGCAAUCUUAUAAUAGAUAUUAUAUUAUUUAGUUUUCAAUUUUAAAGCUUAUUUUAGUAAGCACAAUUUUGGUUUGAUUUUAUAGUAUUUCCUCGCUUAGAAUGUGGUCUUUUGAAGUCCUAUAUAUAUGGGCUUAUGCAAUGUAAUUCAUACAACCUUUGAAUGAAAAAUGAUUGGUAUUUUUUACCUAACUUCUCUUUCGUCUUUCUAGUUCUUCUCCCCUUCCUACCUCCCUCUUUCUACCUUUCCCUCCUCCUCUCUUUUUUCUCUCCCAUUUGACCUUCUCCUAUAAUUCUCCUAUUGCAUCCGUCAUCAAUUGCAUUGUUGUAGGUUCUAUCUACAUUCUGGUCACCUUGUUUUUAAUUUACCAUAUAUAGAGCAUCGGAAACUUUAGCUUGAGAUGAGGGACCAUGUAUAUAUGUGAUGCCCUGGUCUUAAAUUCCCAAAUGUCACUAAAACUUUACUUAAAAAAAAUUUGUAGUAACAAAAAAAAGUACUAAUGUAUGGAAUUAUCAACAACAAAAGGAAAAGGCUCGUGAUUAAGACCAUUCAUAAUAAUAAGCCAAUCUUUAAACAAAGUUGAGGUUUCGACAAGUUUAACUAAGUCCCUCUGUGGGCCCCAUUGUUUAAAACUUAUUUUCAACCACACAUUUUUCCAUUAAAAUAAUUUUGCACAGAAUUUCCAUAAAUCCAUGUCUUAAUGACUAUUAAGGGUCUUCCAAUGGAUUAUGCUGGACUUGUGAUUGCUUUUUGUGAAAAUAAUCAAAUAUCAAUCCUGCUAUAAUUUCCUUUUCAUUUGAAUCUUAAGAUGGUUAGGAAGUCUCUCUCAUAAAAGGUGCUUAUGCUCUUUUAUUUUAUUCUUGUUUGCAGCUAAAACCGUAUGUAUCCCAGUGUGCUAGAGAAGGUUCCGAGGCUGCUGAUUCAGCUAAGUAAAUUGGUUGAAUGUUGAAAAUGUUUUGAUUAAUCAGUAAUUAGGUAUUAUGAGAAAGAUUGUUCAUGGGUACCUUCAACCCUUUUGCCUUUUUUAGGAAAUUCUAUAUAUUCUUCGUUCUGUUAAUGAGUACGGAUUUUGUUGGCAUUCAUUUUCGCAUAAAACAUCGCCAACUCAUUUCAGACAGUUUUCUUAAAUCAAAAUGCCGAAUAGAGAAAUUAGGCAUAAUCCAGAAGCUGUGAUCAACGUUCUUAGGGCUCGUUUGACACGACUUCUACAACAUAUUAUAAAAGACCUU